AAUUAAUAAGCUUUUAAAGCAUUUGUCUUGAAAACUUAAGAAAG
rnacentral:tRNA from 1 species